rnacentral:misc_RNA from 1 species
UCCGAGUUGACCCCGGCAGUCUCCUAUGAGUCCCCGGCAUUACCCGCUGGCAACAUAGGACGAGGGUUGCGCUCGUUGCGGGACUUAACCCAACAUCUCACGACACGAGCUGACGACAACCAUGCACCACCUGUGAGCAGCCCUUGCGGACCUGGUAUCUCUACCAGAUUUCUGCCCAUGUCAAGCCUAGGUAAGGUUCUUCGCGUUGCCUCGAAUUAAGCCACAUGCUCCGCCGCCUGUGCGGGCCCCCGUCAAUUCCUUUGAGUUUUAGCCUUGCGGCCGUAGUCCCCAGGCGGCACGUUUAACGCGUUAGCUCCGGCGCAGAAGGGGUCGAAUCCCCCCACACCAAACGUGCACCGUUUACUGCCAGGACUAC